GAUUCUAAGGCACUCCUUGAUACGUAGCUUCAGAUAUGCGGUUUCACCUUUGAGAUGAAGUAAAUGGCCUAUUUGAAGAAAUUCACUUGUUGGCCUAAGGUAACAUGGUAGUCAUCCAAAAUCCUUCUGAAGGCCAACACAUUCCCACACAAGCAAGAGACAACCAUGUGCAAAAAAAAGUGAGAGAUGGGAUGGGCUGCACUCCAGGAACCG
rnacentral:lncRNA from 1 species